rnacentral:lncRNA from 1 species
ACAGAAGACUGCUCAUGCUCAAGAUACAGCAAAAUGUUGCCUUUUAGUUAGACAGAAGACAGCUGUGCUGGGCUCAGUUGUGCUGUGCUGUGCUGUGCUGAGCUGGACCAGGCUGGGCUGAGCUGUUCCUGGGAGAGUGAAAGUGAGUGAUGCUUCCUUGCAUCCUGCACUUAGAAACCAGAAGACUUAAAUACAUUCCUGAGAGACUCUCAUGAAGACGGAAUUAAAAUGCUCCCUAACUGCUGAUACCUUAUGGGAAUUCCAGGGAAGUAGAUGCAGGUGGCAUUUGUCAUCAGGUCAUGGAUACAAAAGUAAAAGUCAGGGCUGUCCCAAUGACUAAAAGACACCAUACGAGCAUACAGAGAUGGAAUUUGCAGAAGCAUUGGCAUCCUCCUUGUUUGAUUAGCACCUGGAAGAUUUUCAAAAUAGUUGAAAAGGACAUGGAUGAAGCUAGAAACCAUCAUUCUCAGAAAACACAAGAACAGAAAACCAAAUGUGUUCGGAGUUAGUUCUUUCUGGUGGGUUCUCGGUCUUGCUGACUUCAAGAAUGAAGCCACGGACCUUUGCGUUCUUCUAGAAAACACGUCAACAGAUGUUUGAGACUCCAGUCCCCAUGAUCUGAGUCGAGGUCCCAGUGGGGAUCCAUACUGGGGACGACUUGCUGACCGGGAUGGCAGUUUCCCAACAGUCAGAUGCACCUGUUCUAC